rnacentral:lncRNA from 1 species
AAAGAAUUACCAGAUGGAGGACAGCUGCUCGACCGGUGCUACUUCAGGUGCCUUCUUCUCUUGGCUCAUGCUCUUCCUCUUCUUCUUUUCGUGCUUUUCAUACGUUGCCUUUAUAAGGUCCAAACCACCAAGAUUGCAUCAUCAGAUUAGGUACACUUGGCCGGGAAUUUAGCAGGUCUAUUGAUUGAGAUUAAUCAUAUUCCCGGGAUGUGUUGACAUUUCCGUUCUGUUACUUCUAGUCAUUGAUGUUUACUAUUAAGCUGUUCCAUUGCAGAAUCAAACAAACCAGUGUCUGAAUUGGCAAAACUGCAGGAACUACAUGAGGAGAAAAUAUCAAAGAUUAAAGAGCUUAAAAAACAAAAAGAAGAACUGAAGACUCUAUUAGAGAAGAAGCUGACAGAGGAAACAAAGCCAUUCGACAAUUUGUGUGACACAUAUAACAAUCUUAGAGAUGAGUACAAUGCACUAUUGGCACAAGGAUCAGAGGAAAAAGAGUCGUAAUAACGAUAUUUCGAGUCGAAAAUUUGUAUAUGAACUUGGCUGUGCAAUUAUGUACUAGAUUAAUAUUAUGGUUACCUAUGAAUUUCCUAGUAUUUCUAUGUAUUUCGUAUGGGAAACUUUUACUUCUAGUCCCCAACUUUUAGUGCUCCUGCUGAUUUUAGUCCCCACCUUUCAAAAUUGGAAUUUUCACAUGC